rnacentral:misc_RNA from 1 species
GUUUAAGUUUUUGGUGUAGAUAUACUGUAAUAGUUUUAGUUAAAGUGAGGACUGUAUGAUUUGAUAUUUUUCAGAUGAUUUGAGUUGUAACUGAUGUAUAUUUUUGUCAUGAAGCCAUCCUUUAUAUAGGCUUUAUACAUGAGUGAUGCCAACUUUUGUUUUUGGACCAAUAUUUUACGUUUAUUUUUAAUUCUUUUUUUGACCAUAUUCCUUAAUUUAUCUCUUUGGAAAAUCAAAUUCGAUAUAUGAAGGGAAAAUGAACACAAUACUUUUUAGAAGCCAGAUGUUUCUCUGCAAUUAAAAUGUAUGUGGUUUGGAAUUUAUUGUAAAAUUUUGAAGGUUGCAGCAAGGAGAUGUACAAUGUACCGCAUUGACUCCUCAGCUUACUAGAGUGAUGUGCAGAGUGUCAAGAUGAGAGUUAACUUUCGUUUUUAAAUUCGCAAAGAGAGAUCCAAAUUGAAGAUUUUAUAUAUAUUAAUGAUAAGGAUUAUAAAUGUAGCAUAGAAAUACUGUGAAAACUGUAUAUAAACAUGGUGCUCCUGCAUAAAUGAUUAUUGACUGUUCAUGUAUAGCAGUUGCCUGUUAAUGUCAACACAAAGGGAUCACUGAAUUUAUUUUUAAGGAUAUAUUACUUGUAUAAUUUUUGCUUUUUUUUUUACUACAGUACAUGUCAAAACCUUUGAUGUAUUUAAGUUUGUCUUUUAAUAAAUUGUAUUUCUGAC